rnacentral:rRNA from 1 species
AACGAACGCUGGCGGCAUGCCUAACACAUGCAAGUCGAACGAGACCUUCGGGUCUAGUGGCGCACGGGGGCGUAACGCGUGGGAACCUGCCCUUAUGUUCGGAAUAACUCUCCGAAAGGGGUGCUAAUACCGGACAAUGUCUUCGGACCAAAGAUUUAUCGCCUUUGGAUGGGCCCGCGUUGAAUUAGCUAGUUGGUAGGGUAAAAGCCUACCAAGGCGACGAUCCAUAGCUGGUCUGAGUGGAUGAUCAGCCACACUGGGACUGAGACACGGCCCAGACUCCUACGGGAGGCAGCAGUGGGGAAUAUUGGACAAUGGGCGAAAGCCUGAUCCAGCAAUGCCGCGUGAGUGAUGAAGGCCUUAGGGUUGUAAAGCUCUUUUACCCGGGAUGAUAAUGACAGUACCGGGAGAAUAAGCUCCGGCUAACUCCGUG